rnacentral:rRNA from 1 species
CCUACGGGAGACAGCAGUGAGGAAUAUUGGUCAAUGGACGAGAGUCUGAACCAGCCAAGUAGCGUGAAGGAUGACUGCCCUAUGGGUUGUAAACUUCUUUUAUAUGGGAAUAAAAUGUUCCACGUGUGGGACUUUGUAUGUACCAUAUGAAUAAGGAUCGGCUAACUCCGUGCCAGCAGCCGCGGUAAUACGGAGGAUCCGAGCGUUAUCCGGAUUUAUUGGGUUUAAAGGGAGCGUAGGUGGAUUGUUAAGUCAGUUGUGAAAGUUUGCGGCUCAACCGUAAAAUUGCAGUUGAAACUGGCAGUCUUGAGUACAGUAAAGGUGGGCGGAAUUCGUGGUGUAUCGGUGAAAUGCUUAGAUAUCACGAAGAACUCCGAUUGCGAAGGCAGCUCACUGGACUGCAACUGACACUGAGGCUCGAAAGUGUGGGUAUCAAACAGGAUUAGAUACCCUAGUAGUC